rnacentral:rRNA from 1 species
CGCGGUAACGACGGGUAACGGGGAAUCAGGGUUCGAUUCCGGAGAGGGAGCCCGAGAAACGGCUACCACUUCCAAGGAAGGCAGCAGGCGCGCAACUUACCCUAAUCUCGAUUCGAGGAGGUAGUGACAAGAAAUACCGAUGCGGGACCCUACGGGUGCCGCGUUCGGAAUGAGUACGAUUCGAACCACCUAACGAGGAACGAUCGGAGGGCAAGUCUGGUGCCAGCAGCCGCGGUAAUUCCAGCUCCAAUAGCGUACGUUAAAGUUGCUGCAGUUAAAAAGCUCGUAGUUGAACGUUCGGGUUCCGCGGGACGGGGCCGCCCCGCGAGGGACGGCGCCGCCCCGGGGCUCGUGAUAUCUUAUCUCGCCGCCCGUCGCGAGGCGGACGGAGGGAUGGAUGAGGUUACCUGGAAAAAAUCGGGGC